CGAUCGUACUACAUUUACCACUCGACCAGCAUUCCAGCAUUAAUAUGAAGAUUUUCUUUCUGGCUUUUCUCUUCCUGGGCAUCGUGUUCAGCUUGUCUGCAGCCCACAACUAUGAGCACGCGGAGGACGCAGCUGAACAUGGACAUCAUCAGAAUUUCGUGAGCAGCUUGGACGCCGUACACGAGCACAAGAAGCCUGAGGCUUGUUGCGGCUGAUGCAAUGCAUCAAUGGUCAUGGCAGCGCAAUGCUGUUCCAAGUUACCGCUACGUAUUAAAAUUAAAUAUAUAAAUAAAGAAGCAAUAUUUUGAAAAUCCA